AGGCCCCAUGCUGCCUCACAGCUUUCAAAACCUUCAUUUUCUUGGGAAAUGCUAAAAAGCUUUCCCCUACCAUACAUACUAGAUUCAGACACACUGCCAUCUACUGACCCACCAAAGGAUGUGCCAGCACAAGACAUCCUGACCUUCAAGGGAGGGAGGAACACCUUGAGAGGAGUUGAGAUCCUGCUUUCUCUUCAGAAUGCCAUCUCUAGGAUGCCAAUGGGCUGUGUCUACAGUACUAUGUAGGAAAGUGCUGCAAGAGAAAUCAUAAACACCUCUAAAACACAUGUAUACUGGUGGUGUUAGUCAACUUAUAUCACUGUCUGUGAAGACGAUGCAGCAAAUUCAAUGAAAGUUGUAUACAUCAUGGAAAAGUUUGAAUUGCAUGAAGAAAAGAAGCUGACGGAAGUUCUUUCUGUCACCUCUCUGAAGACCUGGUUCAUAUCUGCAGCUGCAACUCUAUCCCUGAACUCAUCUUUGAAACUACCCAGAGAUAGACUGUCAAGAGCUUCAGAGCUUUACAACAGGAUCUUCCAAGUGCCCUGAGAGGUCCGCGUCACCUUUAGGAGCUGUAACACUCACCGCGAAGGUCUGCAGCUUCACUCCUGAAGCCAGCGAGACCACGAACGCACCGGGAGGGAUGAACAACUCCGGACGGGAGGAACGAACAACUCCAGACGCGCCAUCUUAAGAGCUGUAACGCUCACUGCGAAGGUCUGCAGCUUCACUCCUGAAGCCAGCAAGACCACGAACCCACCAGAAGGAAGAAACUCUGAACACAUCUGAACAUCAGAAGGAACAAACUCCAGACACGCCACCUUUAAGAACUGUAACACUCACCGCGAGGGUCCGCAGCUUCGUUCUUGAAAUCAGUGAGAUGAAGAACCCACCAAUUCCAGACACAGUAACACCAGUUAUCACUGAUUGCAGUUCAUCAUAACAGAUAUAAUAAUAAUUUAAAAGUUUGAAAUAUUAUGAAAAUUACCAAAAUGUAACACAGACACAUGAAGCAUUGGAAAAAUGGCACCAAUAGUGUUGUUUGAUGUAGCAUUACCAUAAAUCUUAGAUUUGUAAAUAACAAAGUAUUUGUGAAGCACAGUAAAGCAAAGCACAAUAAAAAUGACGUGUGCUUGUAUUUUAAAAGAACAGAUUGAAUUGGGAAGGGUAGUUGAGGAACUGGAAGCAGAGAGAACAGGUACAAGAUUCACGUAGUAGUCCAAGAAAAUUAAAGCAAGUAGAAAAACUAACAGAAGUUCAGGAUAAAAGAUUUUGAGGCCUUAACUACACAUUUCCAGAAGGAAUGGAAAAAGGUCAGAAAUGAGAAUGUGGAAAUAUCCUCAGCUGAUUUGACUGUAAGUAGAAAGUGUUGGCAUAAAAAAAAUGGACGAAGCCAAAAAACUCAUGGAAUGAUGAAUAAUUAAAUAAAUUGAGGUCUCCUUAUCAAAAACAAAAAUGAAGACAUGUAGAUAGAAAUUUAUAUGUCUUUACUCUGUAAAGCUGGGAGAAUACCCAGAAGGUAUUUAGGAAGUAUGUGAUAAAAAUUUAAGAUUGGAGUUAAUGAACCAGAGAUAGGCAUGAGACACAUAAUAGGUAAUAAUACAGGUUAGCUGGUAAGAUCUUUGGAGCACAGCAAGCUUGGAUUUGAGUUAGUAAUAAUAAUUAUGCACUGCACAUUUUAGCCUUUAUAAUUUUUCACUGGUUCUUCCACUUAAUAGGCAUCUUUUAACAUCUAUUAAGUGUAGGAAAAUACUAAGAGCUGGAGAUACAGCAGUAAUAAAUAAAGUUUAUUUAAGUAAGUGUAAAGUUAAUAAAACACAGUCCCUAAUCUCAUUACUCUUACACUGAGAGAUUUUCACAUUCAAAAUUUACUGAGCACCUAUUGGGUACAGAGGACUUGGAUGGGCAAAUGAAUACAAUAUGUCUCUUGCUGUGUUGUUGGAACAAGUGGAAUGCUGGGGACAUCCAAAGAAAGGAGACCACAUGGAGGAGGUGAUAUUGGAUCUUGAGGGAUGAUUAAGAGUCAUCAAACAAACGACAUUUAUAUAUAUAUUAUAAUAUCAUCUCCUGUAAUCUCGCUCACACCCUGUGAGGACCAAGUAAAUAUAUUAAAGAUGUAUUUCUUAUAGAAUAUUCUGAGCAAGAUGAGAGAAAGGAUAGUAUGAUAGCCCUGUCAGUCCUUGUAUUCCUCUCCCUAAUUUCACUGUUUUGUUGAAAGUGUUUGUUUGGUUUUUUUAAUAGUUUUUAUUUUGUAUUUAGCUCUAGACAAAAGAACAGUACUAUUCCUUGAAAACAUUUAUUCUUUAGGGAUAUGA
ensembl:lncRNA LINC02552 long intergenic non-protein coding RNA 2552